CUUUUCUCUAGCAGGCUUGGGCGGCGGAAGCAUGUAGUUGCGCGUUUAAAGUUCAGCGAUUCGGGCCUUUUAUAUAAUCAUUGCUAUGCAUAGGCUGCAAAUGUCGACCAUCUGUGUUCAGGAACCACCUUGAAUGGGACUUGACGCCUGACUUAAUUUCUUGAGACGACUAAUGGAUGUCGCGCUUCUGAAGAUUCGGUCCGCAGACCGUAAUGCAAGACCCUGAUCAACUUUGAGGCGGCGUAUCAGCAUACCGUGCUAAAGGGUAAAAGGAAUGGGUGAGGACUCAUCUGAAUGAAGGUCAUCUUGAGGUCACUGGCUCAAAGGACUUGUUUACCCUCAAGAAACAGAUUGGAAAGUGUGGAUGUGUGACUCAUCAGAACAGUGGACCAGGACUAGCCUUAUUACCACCCUAAUGUAAAAGAAAUGGUUGAGGACUCAUCUUAAUGAAGGUCCUCUUGAGGUCACUGGCUCAAAGGACUUGUUUACCCUCAAGAAGCGGACUGGAAAGUGUUGAUGUGUGGAGAAGCAUCAGAACAGUGGACCAGGACUGACUUGAUGACCACUCUAAUGUCAUUGGCCUGAAGGGUCAGUCUGGUCCCUUGAGGAGCUAUUGGAAAGGUGAAUGAAGAAUGGAUGAAGCCAUGGCAUGUGUUAAUUCAAUUUUAUUGCACUUGGAAAAUAAAAACCAUAAUGUACAAAA